AAGAAGCUUGUCUCUUGCUCGACUGUGCCUUCGCGAGCGGCUACGGAUCGCUUGACAAUGUGGCGCAGGCUGUGCUCACUAAAUAUGGCGAAGGAGUGCUGCGUUCCGACGCGUUCUUCAAUAGCCGGCUGGAGAUCGUGCAUCUUGUUCUGGACAAGGUGCGAGUUGCAGAGGAAAUUUUUGUAAUCAAAGCGGUGCUACGAUGGGCGCGAUCAUGUUUCAAGGCGGGUGCCAUGGAAUUCAAGACGACCAUUGCCGCCUUGCUGCCGAAGCUGAGGUUCUUGGCGCUGUCACCGAUGGAAUUCGUGGAGUUGAUCAACUCCGACGACGCGCGAGGUAUGAUGGAAAAAGAAGACGCGCUCGCCAUUUUGUGCAACCUGUUCCCCAGAGGGCGCACUGAUCUGCCAGAAUGGGUAUGUCGAGAGAGGCGGCCACGCAAUUUUGUGAUUGGUUGAUUUCAAUGAAAAUAGUACUUCACAAAACUGUUGGGCCAAUAGCCUAAGCUAGUGGAGGCUUCCACUUUAUGUGUGACAAUGACAGUUUCGUCUGAUAUUACGGCGACGAAUCUGUCUUGUAUGGCUUUUGAAAGUGCUUUUAGCGCACUCCAAUCCGACUGAUUUCCCAUCUACAACUUAUGUUAAUUCAGAAGACAUCUUGUCUAGCAAUCACUGUACCUGUUUGAAUAAAAUGUGUUGCAUUGAAACGAGCUAAAUUGUUGCCAGCGAAGGCCUAUAUUUUUGAGUCACUGAAUUAAUGUGUAAGUAACAGUGAAGUACCAUAUGCAGAAGUUUUCAAUUGAGCAGCAGAAAUAGACAUCAAGGUUUUCCACUGCUUCUGUAAGGACAUCUUGAUUGUCAUACGUUCAUCAAUUUACGUUGAAUAACUACUUUGUUUAUAUGCGUUCUGCGAAACGGUAUCUGUAGAAAGCGCAGUUUUCUUUAUUUUUAAGGUAAUGCUUGCAUAAGAGUGUGGAGAAAUGGUAGCAACGUGACUAAGCAUUCGUUCGUCGCGUACUGAUCCGUGCCAGUUUAUAAAAAUGCAUUUGUUUGUGUGUUUGUUUUGUCAGACGGAAGUCUGCAAAUUUGAUGCCUAAGUUAAAGCAAAUUUAUUCGGUAUAUUCCCACAGAAAAGUCUUCUCCCAACUGUCACUGGGUAUUUACUCUUCUAUAAUACUGCAGCAGGUUUCACGCAAAUAGAGACAACGGUUGUUUAGAAACACCAUUCGUGCAUCUCGCAAAAGUUUCAAGAGAAAGAAGUGUAGCCAAACCUUACUCUCAUGUCAUUGUUCGUAAAAAUCUUUUCAUACGCACGCUUGCCUAGACCUCACAGCGUUGCAUUUCUUGUCAAAAUCCAAUUUAAAGAUCGAGUUCGUCGAGAUGUGUGCUGUAUUUGACUUUCGUCUCUCCUUCUGUGCCGGAAUAUUCAUGGAGCGAGAGCCUUUUAUAUUGUACUCGUGUACAAUCAUGAAUGUAUUCUCCAUUCUGUCAAGCAGGUUUGUCUGUACGUCAAUAGUUCAAGUAAAAGAUUUGUUUUUUUUUUGAAAACGUAAAGUGCCUAUUGAUGUUUUUCUGCGAUGACUGUGUGAGGUUAUUGGAAGUAGCUUAUGCAGGGUGGUCUUUGCUAACAAUAUUUCAUGGCAAUGGUGGAUGCGUGAACUUGCAUGAUAAUAAAGGGCGAAUAUAAACAUUAAUAAGAUUUUGCAACAACUGCAGGGGGCAUGCUGUCUUCGCAGAAUUCGGAAUAAGUGCCGUGACUGGAGCUAUUAGUUUUCAGUAGAAACUGUGCAUAUCGCACAAGCUUUGUAAUGUAGGCACUCUAAAUUUGUCACAAAAUGCAAUGUGGUUGCGAGUAAGAGUUUUUCUUGCUGAAACAAUCUGGCGUGCGGGAAUAUACUAAACAUAAAUAUUUCAUAGUUCCGAAAACGAAAAGUUAUUAUUUGAAUGGCUUCCGAUUUCAAUUCACCACUUACAACAUGUCUUCCAAUGACAUUAACUAGAAAACGUAAUGAGUGCUUAAGAGUUCAUUAACGUUCAUAUUGGGAGUUAUCGCGCAAAAUCUGACGUCGGCCACUGCUCUGUAAGAUAGGCAGCAAAGAUGGUCUCAAACCUCUCAUUUUUGUUAACCUCAAACAGUCCUUUCAAAAGCGAAGCCACGGGCCCGAGCACACAAAGAAUGUCAAACUGCGCCUUUCACAGUCGUCCACCUUGUCUAGACCCGCAUGUUGCACUAUUACAAUGUUGAAAAUUAACCAGGUAGCUCAAGUGUGUACACUAUGGACAUUUUGUGGUUGUUUCUUUCUAAGAAAGUUCGAGGAUUACUGUUAAAUUAUUGCGGUUUGAUGUGUGACGCUCACUGUACGUAAACGUUAAACGGCAUCGACACCACUACUGUUCUUUAGAGCCGCUUCAUCAAUUUCUUUGAAACAGAAGCAUUCUGUUUCGGCAGUAAGAAACAACUCGCUAAAACUAGCUUACCGACCCUAUUUAAAGCUUAAUGAAUAUUAGGGGUUCAUAUUCAGAGACAUAGAGGCAGCUGGGAUGUCAUAAGCCGUCCUCUUACGUGACACAACCACCAGUUCUUGUGAAUACGAUCUAGUCGUGUGCUCUAAACAUUAAUCGUGUAUUGUAAAAGAUCAACCUUUUCACAUUGUGGGACUCAAGUUUUGGUUGGAAUGUAUCACUCUACUCUGUAUGUCGCUUCUCUCACUAUGCUGUAAGUGCAGUUAUUGCUUUAUAUUACAACUGUAACUCAAGCGAUGUCAAGGUGUGACACCGCGAGUGUGAUUGCUUGUGUACUUGUAUUUCCACCGCUUAAGCCUUCAAGAAAUGACGUCCUGUGAGGCCUGCCGCCUCUUUUGACUUGUCGCACUCAGUGCUUUUUUUCUUUCUGUGCAUUCAUACCUGGCACUAAAUAUUUGCUGCCAUCGCCUCAGGGACCGUUGUGUUUCGAUAGCAAAUAGUUGAAUAAACAAGAAACGUUUUAGGCGA